AUGCUUAUAUAUUGUGAUGUGUGUGGGGUUGAUACCAUACAGCGAUGCAUUAGGUGGCACUAUCGGAUCGUUAAAUCCAGUUUGUUCAAUUUAGCAGCUCUUGAUGUGUUGCAGGAAAUAAAGCCUAAGCAUCCGAAAUUGGACGGUGAGAUGUUUUGUGCAGUAUCUCUAACGCAGGCUCCUCCAAGAAAACCGGCUUUGCCUGUAAUUCCUGCAGCGUGCAGUACGGAAAACAGCCACUGGAUGGAGCGUUUGAUCAAAGAGCCAGGAACACACAGUAUUUCGAGUAGCAGUAAGAGUACAGGAGGGGCUGGCAUUGAAGUAACAGAGAAGUCAAUUGGCAAUAAGCAAAUUCCAGGCCUACCAGAAUUACCAACCAGAAAAUCUUUAGGAACACCUGUAAACUCAGCCUUUGAAUCCACGCCCCCAAAAGUCAGCAAAAUUAUACCAAUUUUCAAAGGAAAGUUGAUGCAAAUGAAUGGAAAGAUCACAAAUCAAACAGAGAGGAAGAAAAAGGAAAAUGCUGAAAGGCAUUCACCAAUAAAAAGUGUGGGUAUUUCAUCUUCUAUGCUGUCUGUGCACAAAUCCAGCAUAACUCACGUUUUCAAACAUGUUCAAAAUAUGUCAGUCAAAACUCCCACUGACAGCAGUGUGCUCCAGGUAAAGAAUAUGAAGACACACACAAAACAUGGUACACCCAUAUUCCGAUGGAAAACCCAGUCUAGUGAACAAAUUUCUAACUCUGAUUUUUCUGAAAACUCAACUUCAGGUGGGAAUCCGAGUGAAGUCAAUCAUAAAAAGGCAAAUUCCCCAUUCUUUCUCAAGAAUGUUGGGCCAGUGCUUCAGAAAUCAAACACCAGCCUGUGUCUGAAUACACAUGACUCUCCUAUUUCUGGUGCAAGAAGGGGGAAAAAGUUUGCAAGUCAAAAUACUACUGAAUUUAUUGAGAAACACCACCAGUCAAAGGAAGUGCAUUUGCAGAUUUGUAAAUUAGGCAAUGAAAUGACAAAUUCCAGUUUGUCGCUGCAACAAAGAAAGAGAUCAAGUAAAGGAGCUGGGUUAAAUAUUCAUGAAUCUGUCUUCAAAGUUACAGUGUGCAUGGCCAAAAGUGAAGGGAACAAAGCAGCUUGCCACUCUAAGGACUGUACUGCUGAGACAACCAGUCAUCAUUCCAAACCUAAUUUUGAACAGAUGAUGACAGGGAACAAGUAUCUGACAUGUGAAACAUUGACCUCGAAACCAACUUUGCCAGUCAAGGAGAGCAACAUGGAAGCAUCUGUAAAGAAAGGUCCUGCCGGAAAAAGACAGAAAGAAGAAGGUUAUUCGAAGUUAAAGAGAGCCAAAAGAAGUAAAACUUCUACUUAAGGUGUUCUGGAGCAUUGAAAGAAAACUCUGGGUUCCCAAGAGGGCAGUAACAUACUUAAGAAUCUCUGAACUUUGUGUAUUUUGCUGUUUGUCAUUGGUAGCUGUUUCUGGAUGAAAAUUUGAGGGUUAAAUACAGUCAAGUGAAUCCAUGUAUCAUCAAUUUCUUCAUACAGUUCAGGUUAAUAAGCCUCUAAUGCAUUUGAAAAUUUAACUAAAUUGUUUAGUUUUUUAAUCACAUUAUGUAUGUCCUGCUAUUGCUUACACACUUAACCAUUCUUCCAAAUUAUCUUGCUGCUUCUAGUUGGGUUUUUAAAGAUAAAAUAUUUAAUUCUUUGUUACAGUGUCUGGGUCAGUUUGAUUCACCUGUAAAAAAUUUCCAAAUAAGUUUUCCUUGUCAAGUCAAAUGAUUGGACUAUAAACAAUUUUAUUCCUACAUGAAUAAUUUAUAGGCUGGACUUGACUCAAGCUUUAUUAGUUCUUGUUGUAACUUUUCAUGACUUUUCAGAUAUGAAACCGCUCUGUAAAAGAUUUUUUUAAGUUUAAUUGGCAACCCCAUUCUUCAGGAGUUCAUAGACAACCUGUAGUUGCUCUUCGAGUAAUUUUGUUGCCCUAAGUGUGACUUCAUUGACCUACUUCAACAUGCAGAUACAAAAAUAUACACAUUUAUAAGAUUGUUGCCUCCUAAUCACUGCUUUGAAGUGAAUAUUAUUGUGUUAUGUGGAAAAUAAGAAUCAAAUGUCACACUAGCUCUUAAAUUCAAACAUUAUGGAAUGGUGGUUUAACACUUGUUUUGGACAUACAUUUUCAAAUCUUUUUUUCUAAAGGGAUCAAUUCAAUGGGACUUUAUGCCCUUCAUGAAACUUUUUUGUUUUUUUUUUUUAAGGUUUAUAUUGCAGUAGCUGUAUUUCUAUUCACUUAUUUUUCCAAACUGGAUUUUGUCCUGCUACUAUAACAACUUUUGUUUUGUUUGGUUUGGUUUAGUUUAGUUUUGUUUUUUCUUGAAUGGUUACUGUCAACAUAGCUCUAAUUUCAGGGUGCCAAUCUUUAAAAGAGGGUUCUUCAGCAUGACAUUUUGUCAUACAUAACUUUAAAAACAACAACAACAACAAACCAACAAGCGAAGACAAAUAAUAAAAGAAGUUAAUGCAAUAUGACCAGCAAGAAGUCAAAUUAUAGUUGCAUAUUGUCUGGAAGCUGGUAUACAAGGCUACUUUUCAAAUGCUGUGGUUUAGUUACCUUUCAUAGGUUUCAAUGUAUGCGACUGAUCUUUCUCCUCUCUUACAUGAAAAAGCCUGUAGAGUAGAAAUUAGCAAAGCUAUGUAAAUUAGUGCUUUGCCCGAUCUGUUUCGUAUUGCUGCUUUUAAAAUACUGCUGGUUGCCAGCAUUUGUCUUGUGUUAUCACAGAAGUAAUUUUGCACUAUUUAUGUGUUUUUGAAUGUUUACAUCAUUUUGUGUUAUUUGUUCUAAAACUUAAAAUAAAGAAAAACUUAUUUAUCUCAGCUCUAAUGUGUUCCAUUUAAAUAAACUACUGAGUUACUCAUAUGUGCUAAAUUGCCAGCUACUUCCUGGUCUAAAUCCUGUUACUCCAUCCCACCCACCCACUUCUUGUAAAUGCAUGGGAAGGUGUUGAUAGUGAGCAGAACCGUGCUGGGUGCAACAGU
rnacentral:lncRNA from 1 species